rnacentral:lncRNA from 1 species
UUGAGAGGAAUAAAUCUCCAUAUACAAUCUCUUUCUUGCCUCUAGCAUUUCGAUCUAUCAUGUCUUCAGCAAUGGAUCAAAUAAAUUUGUAAGUCUCCAGUGCUUUCUGUUAUACACAUUUUCAAUAUUUCUGUUCCCUGUACCACAAAGAAGAUAAUGAAUAAAGCACAGGUCUUAUUACAGGAUUUCAUCUAUUGUGCUCUUUGACAACUGUUCUAUAUACAUUAAUUCCUUACAAUGCCAUAAAAAAUUAGUUUCGGCUUGUGAUAUGAGAUGUGUCAUAUAGGGGGUUUCAUUUACAUUUAAAAUAACAGGAAUUUCUAAUUGCACUUCUUUGAUGCGCUAAGGGUUUAAAACGUUUGUGACUACCAUGCAUAAACAUUGAAGUCAAGUAGUCAUGAUGAAGAGAAUUUGAAAGAAAUAGAGAAGGGGAGAUAUGAAAUGCCACCCAUAACCUGAUUUGAUAUUGAUGUAGUUUCACUUUGGCGUAAUAAUGAAAUGAAAUACAUUAGUGCUCUAAUUAGUUAUACCAGCUUUUGAUAGAUUCAGAUAUAUGUGGUUUCAUUUUUGUUCAAAUAAUCAAAAUUCUCUAAUUGAGUUGCUUCGAUGUUCUUUAUGUACAUGCUAUCAUGCAUUAUGAAACACAAGUUAUGUAGUCAUUUGUGUGGAUAAACUUAAUGAGAAACGAGAACGGAAGAUAUUUUCCUGGUUCAUAACUGACAAAUUGGCAUUUGGGCAUAAAGUGCCAUGACCUUUUCUCUUUACUAGAAUGAAGUUUCAGUUAUUUAUUUGAGAAAUUUAGACGUGCUCAACCGUUCUAGUAAAAUGUCACUGCAAGAUCUACUAUUCUUUGGAGAUCUAGACAAAAACGUCCUUUUGAAAGAACAUUAUUUAUUUACUUUUAACUGAUUCUCAGUUGCAUUAAAUUUCAGUAUGGUUCAGUCUUUAACAAGUGAAGCUUCAAAAUCGGAGGAUAUAUUUCUGCUACUUCAAGAAAUUGAGGAAUCUGUUAGACUUGCAUUUUUGAACUGUUUCCUUGAUUUUGCAGGUAAUAUAUGCUUCUAACUGUUUUUGCUAUACUUGCAUUGAAAGUUUUCUUAAUCAUAGCUAUUGAUGUACAUCAUUUUGUGCUUACCUUGUCAAGGUCAUCUGGAGAAUAUUGGAAGUGGGCUUACCCACAAACAAAACAAAGACAGUCCACACUUACAGAAUGGAUUUUCUCAUGAAUUGCAAGAGAAGUUACUUUUAGAUGUGCCUGGGAGUCUUGUGAAUCCGCAUCAACAAUUGUUAAUAGUCUUGAGCAACAUCGGUUUUUGCAAAGAUGAGCUUUCAUGUGAAUUGUAUGGCAAGUACAAGCAUAUUUGGUCGCAUUCUAGGUAGAGAUUAAGGCUCACUUUCCCUAGCAGAUAUACUUUUAUCCUUCAGGUUUCUAAUAAUACUUCCCUAGAUGUGGUUUAAAAUUUCAUAGUUGACAUGUGAUGUAAAAUAUUUAACUGCAGUGCUUUAUAUGUUUUUAAUUUUGAUUUACCUUAUUGCAUCAAUUUUUUAUUUUUUAUAUUUUUUAAUUUACUUCAAACUCAUUGUGAUUGAGACCAUGGAUGCUGAAAAAGUUCUAUAUGUUUGUGGGUUUUUCCACUAACGCCCUACCAUCAUUAUAGGAUAAAAUCUGAAGAAGAUACCAGUGAUCUCCAAGAUCUUGUUAUGUCCUUUUCAGCACUUGAAGAAAAGGUCCUUGAACAGUAUACAUAUGCAAAGGUAUUGCCAAAAUCCAUUCUUAAUCUAAGGAAUUAACCAACUCGCGAUACUGAUUCCUGCUUUUUUUGUGUGAAGUAUAUUCUUAUCAUCUCUGAAUCCCACCUUUCUUGCAUAUAUUUUGAAAAGAGGAGUGAGUAAUCCACAUCUUCACAAACCUCUUAGUGUUGUGGGGUCCACAUUUUUUCAUUGAAAAAAUGAAAAGGGACUAAUACUCAUGGACAAGUUACAUAAAGGGGAAAAUAAAUUGGAAGAAUGACUUGAAAAUACAAACGAUCCAUAGAAAAACACAAGAGUAACAAGGACAAUGCAAAGUAGCAAAGAGAGACCAGAACCAGUUUUAAAAAGCCCUCUCGGGCAUGCCCCUAGACUCAAGAUGUAUGUUUGGCACCUUGCCUCAAGGCGAGGCUCACAAAAUAAGGUGCGCCUUAGGCUCAAAGCCUUGGACCUCGGGGCUUUUUCAUUAUUUUUAAAAAAUAGUAAUAAUUAAUGGUUUUCCUUUAUUAACUAAAAGAAUCAAGUUGACAUGCCUAAAUGUCUAGUGUUUGUGGUCCUUUUUUUCUCUCCGUAUUUCCCCUUCAACUAUGCUUUUUCCUUUUAAUAUAAUAUCUUUUUAAUGUAGUGUCACAAAAAAAAUCCACGCCUUUUUGUGCGCAAAGCACCUACGCUCCAGAAGGCCAUUACGCCUUAGUGCGUCUUGGGCAUUUGAAAACAUUAACCAAGGCAUCAAAAACUAUUUGCGACUUUACCAUCGCUCCAAAACUUCAUGAGACAAAAGAUCCUUCCUACCGGCAGAACUACCAAUGGAGGGGAAAACCUCCAUCUCAAGAUUUUUUGAACAUUGACUGUGAGUGAAGCUUGGAAGCCCAAACAAACUCUCUUGGUGCUCAAUCAAAAACACCUCCAGAAAUAAAACCAUCAAUGCAGAAAAUUCUAAACUGGCUAUAUCAGUGGGUAGAGUUCCACCAUUGUUCAAUGUCGGAGUCAGUGAAACAAAGUAAGCAAGAAGAGGUUAGCUUUUUCAAAGAGUUUCUUUUUCAAAGCUGGAAGACUUACAGUAGGUAAAUCGGUAUUGAAUGACGUUCCCAUGUAUUAUCUCUCCUUUUUUUGUGCCCCUACUUCAGUGUUUUUUUUUUUAAACGGAGACAAGAACUUCUUUAUUAAUAAGAACUCAAAGUACAAGAGAGUUAUACAAAGAGAGCCAAAAAGAAGUAGUAAUCAAGGGUGACCUAGAUGGAUCAGGAGGCGCACCCGGACAUCUCAACUAGGUUGACACCCCCUUAGCGCCAAACAUCAUAUCCCGAGCACUAGCAAAUAAAACAAAAAAGAAACAAUAAUAAAAGCGAUCAUCUUAGUACAAAGGUCCAGAAAAACAGAAAAGGACCGGGAGAAAACAACAAGGAACACGAGGGGUAGUGGGGGGACGAAGGGAAAGAGAAUAUGGAGAAGCUCAUGAGAGAUUUUCGCUUGGAAGAGGUGGACGAAGGGAAAGGUUUUCGUUUGGUUAGGUAUGAGGUGGUUAGGAGAUCUGUAAGAGGAGGAGAGGUGGGUUUAACAUGCUCUGUCGGUUCAAUGGGUGUGUGAGCUUGAAUCUUUGUCGUGUAAGAUUAUUGCUAAUAAGCAUUAGCAUCCCAUUGGAUAUUGACACAUGGAAGUGAAAAUUGGAGAGCUUUGAUACAUUUUCAUUGAAUUCAAUGAUCCAACACAGGAUAAAAGAAGCUGGUCAUUAGAAUCUCAUGGGGUCUUUAAAAUAAAGUCACUUACAAAGCACGUAAGGCCCGUGGAGGGUGAAUAUAACCUAUGGAUUAUGUUGUUCGGAAGUUUAAAUUGUGCUUUAGUUAUGCAAAAUAAACUACCCACUCAUUAUAUUUUGCCACACAGACAUUCAUUCUGUCUCGGAUUUCACGAGGAUCUACAACACAUUUUGUUCAACCGUGUAUGUUGAAGAAAUUGGCACAAAAGAAAGAGACACUAACUCGGAAGAAAGUAACUUUUAUUAAGAAAUUUGCAAAGGAUGAGCACUUGAGAGCACUCUUUUACUCUAAACACACUCACUUACUUUCACUCAAAGUUUCUCACUAACUCACUAACUCACUGUCUUUCUUUCUUCCUCUUUUUCUUUUCUUUCUUUUUCUUUGCUUGGUUUGCUUUCUUUGCUUUGUUCAUAAAUGAAGACACAGCUCCUAUUUAUAGGUGUGAGAUUCUUGGAUCCCAAGCCAAGGAUUUCUCUAUAAUUCUAACUAUUCUAGAUAUUCUUAGUCUCAUCCUUGUCUAUUGGAACUCUCUAGAAUUCCUUAAUCUAAAUAAAAUCUAGGAUAUUUCUAGAUUUUUUCGUUUAGAUAUUUAUGUACAUCUUUCAACAUAAUUCUAGAGAAAUCUAAUUUACACACUAAUGACAAAUUAUGGACACUUCAAGACUCUUCUAGACUAGUUGGUGUUGCUAUAUAGUUUAACACUCUCCCUCAACACUAACUAUUCUAGGCUUCUAGCACUUUGCAUGCUUGGAUGCACUUAGCCUUCUAGCACUUUGUCCCAAUGUCUAUGUCUUCUCAACGCGUCCACUUCUUCCAUGGCUUUUCUCCAUUGGAUAUUUUGGGACGCUUCUUCAUAUGUUGUUGGUUCUUCAAACGUUGCAUAUAUAUAUAUCUAGAAUUUGGUAUUCUUUGUUUGGUUGACGGUGGUUUUUUAUCAUAUACUCCACUUUGCCAUGGACUGUGUCCUUAAUUGUUUUUCGUCUUUGUCGUUUUCUUCUUCACCUUCUGUUGGAUCAUGUUAUACUCGACUUAUCUCAUCUUUGGAUCCUUCCUCAAAAGACCUCUCAUCCUUAGGUGUCUUUUCUGAAUCAAGUGCUUUCCAUGAUAAUGCUUCAUUAAUCGUAUGACAUUGUUCAUCAGUGGAAUCAAUGCACUCUGUCACUAAAUGCCUUUGCAUAUCCAUGUAGGCGUCUUCUGCUAACAUGAUAUAGAUGGAAUCCAUUUCUUGUCUUUCCAUCAAUAGCUUGCCACUGGCUUCCAAAUCUUGGUAAACCUUAACACCAUUUGGUCCAAACACGACAAAUUUGCCUGCUGAUGUCAAUUGAGAUAUUGGCACAAAUUUUUCUGCAUUAAGGCACAUAACGCAUGCUUUCCAGUUCUACUUGAUUGGAAUUCGAAUGAGGCAUUAUGAGAGUUUUGCCAAUGUGGGGUAUUGGCAACUUCGAGUUGUUUGCAGUUACAACAACUUGGCUUCCUUUGUACUUUGUUGUGUUUUAUAGCUUCUGCUUAUCUCUUGUCAUAUGGUUACAACAUCCUGAAUCAACAAUCCAAUCAUUUUCAUAAUUUACCUCUUCUACAUGGAGAGCCAACACUUUAUUCUCCAUCACAUUGGAUGCCGAUUGGGGGUCGGGAUCUGUUGUUGCAUAGUAUGGAUCUGCAUCCCAUUCUUCACCACUAAUGCUCUCAACCUAGGAGGUGACUGUGUUGCUUUCUGCUGUCAUCUUUUUUUGGCGACAUUCUCUGGUAUAGUGACCUAUCCUUCCAUAAUUGUAGCAUUUGCCCUUCUUUCUAUGGCCGUGUUGACGAUCAUUUUUGUUAGCUCCCCUUACUUGAGGGCAUUUUGGAGUCUCUUCAUCUCCUUUUCAACCUACUUUCUUUUAAAAUUUUGAAUGACCUUUUCUUUAGCAACUAAAGAGCGCUUCUUCAUUGUUGCUCAUUGCUCUUUAUUGUGACCUCUGACAUUUGCUUAUCCAAUGCUUCUUGACUGACAAACAUAUUUUAUGGGUCAAUCAAAGAAGGUCGGAUUGCCCAACCUCGAAUAGCAUCAAUAAAACUUAUAUAUUCUGGUUUAAGACCAUGAAUAAUAUUUCUUCUCAUUCUCAAUUCUGAAAUAGCUUAAGUAGGAUUUAAUUUAGAGAUUUCAUGGCAUAGAGUUCUUACCUUAGUGAAAUGGUUGAUAGUCAUCUCCCUUUGAGCGAUUAACAGGAGCUCGUUUUCUAAAACCUGCAAUCUUGCAUCAUUCUUCUUUGAGAAAAGUGAGGCAAAUGUGUCCCAUGCUUUCUUUGGUGUCUCCAUAAUACUAAUGUGCUCCAAUAUUUCUUUUUCAACUGUAGUUUUAAUUCCAAACAUGGCCUUAUCUGCCUUGAUAUUCCAUUUCUUCACAGCAGCAACAUCCUCAAGUGGAUUAACUUCAGUGCCUCCUACAACAUCCCACAAGUCUUGACCUUGGAGAUAAGACUUCUGAUAGACCACUAAUAUUAUAUCAGUACAUUAGGAGAGAAAAAAAAAAACACGUGAGGGUAAGGCACGUGUGAGUGAAGUGAAGGGUAGCAAUAUAAAUAAGAUUUGUAGUGGGCGGGAAAGUUAGUUAGGAUUUGAGUUUCUGGAAUCUUUUCUGUUCUUCCUUGGAAGAGAGGGAAGCAGAGGAAUUGUAGUUUUGUUAUUUCUAUCAAUAAUAUCGAAUACAUUUUCUACCUACGAGUUCCAUCAAAUUGGUAUCAAAGCGCGUGAUUCCGGACAAGAAAAGCGAAGAUGGUGUAGACGAGAAUUGAAGAGAAGAUGGAAACGUUUGAUCAGGAAAUUCAAGGAAUCAAAAAAGAAAUCGGAGAAUUACCAGCGAUAGAAAGAACGUUGAAUGAUUUGGCGAAAGGCAUGGAAAGACAAAAUCAAAUGAUGUUGCGAUUCAUGAAAUCGGCGACACAAGAGAGAUCGACGAUGAAUGAAAAGAUUACCGAAUUAUCAAUGCGGAGUACUCUAAUGAAGAAUAAUAGCGAAGGCGAAGGAUCAUCAAUUCGCAAAAGUGAACCGAUGAAUGUAGAGAAGAAAACGAAUGAGGAAAAUAAGUGCGAUCAAAACAAGUUCAAGAAAGUAGAGAUGCCAAUCUUCAAUGGAGAUGAUUCGGAUUCGUGGCUAUUUCGCGCCGAAAGGUACUUUCAAAUCCAUAAAUUUACUGAAUUCGAAAAAAUGAUUGUGGCGACUAUAAGUUUCGAAGGACCGGCUUUAAAUUGGUAUCGGUCUCAAGAAGAGCAGGAGAAAUUUACUGAUUGGGCGAAUUUAAAGGAGAGAGUAUUAAUCCGAUUCCGAUCGACGAGGGAGGGAUCAUUGUAUGGUCGAUUCUUGCGCAUACAACAGACGACGACAGUGGAGGAGUAUCGAAUUUUUUUUGAUAAAUGGGUAGCACCUUUAUCAAACUUGCCCGAGAAGGUGGUAGAAGAAACCUUUAUGUCAGGAUUGAAAACAUGGAUCCAAGCUGAAAUGGAUUUCUGUGAACCUAAAGGAUUAUCACAGAUGAUGAGAAUUGCGCAGAAAGUAGAAAACAGAGAGGAUAUUAGAAGAGAAGCAAAUCUUCCUGGAUAUUCAAGAGGGAAAUUGAGCAAUUCUGGAAGUGGUACCAAAGUUAAUACGACUGUGAAUUCUGGAGAUAAUAAGGGGAGUAUGAACUGGCCGAUGAGAACGAUUACAUUGAGAGGGACUUCAAGUGAAGAAGCACGAAAGGAAGGUCCCACGAAAAGGCUUUCUGAUGCCGAGUUUCAAUCGCGAAAGGAGAAGGGUCUAUGUUUUCGAUGCAAGGAGAAAUAUUCUCAUGAUCAUAAGUGUAAAACUAAAGAGCAUAGAGAAUUGCGUAUGCUGGUAGUAAUGGGGGAGAAUGGUAAAUACGAAAUCAUUGAAGAAGAUAAUACUGAACAGGAGUUGAACACGAUUGAGAUUACAUGAGAAGAACAAACAGUGGUGGAGUUAUCGAUAAACUCAGUGGUGGAGUUGUCGAUAAACUCAGUGGUGGAGUUGUCGAUAAACACAGUGGUGGGGCUAUCCAAUUUGGGAACAAUGAAGGUGAAGGGAAAGAUACAAGGAAGGGAAGUCAUUGUAUUGAUAGAUUGUGGAGCCACACACAAUUUUAUUUCAGAAUGUUUAGUUAAGGAGCUGCAGAUUAAUACCAAGAUUACCUCAAAUUAUGGGUCAUUUUGGGUUCAGGAACAACUAUUAAAGGAAAAGAAGUAUGUGAAGCCAUUGAAAUAAUGUUAGGAGAAUGGAGAGUAGUUGAUGAAUUCUUGCCGUUGGAGUUAGGAGGGGUGAAUGCAAUAUUGGGAAUGCAAUGGUUAUACUCUCUAGGUAUAACCGAAGUGUAUUGGAAGAACUUGAUCGUGACUUUUACACACCAAGGGAAGAAGGUUUUUACAAGGGGGGAUCGAAGCCUAACAAAGGCAAGAGUCAGCUUAAAAAAUCUCAUGAAAUUCUGGGGAGAAGAGGGGAUUUUUAGUAGAAUGUCGUGCGUUGGAAAUGAGAGAGUCAUGGGAAGAGGAAGAUUUGAUUGAGGAAGUGUUGACUAUAGAGGAAUCCGUGGCAGUGGUGUUGAAAAGAUUUGAGGAUGUCUUCGAGUGGCCCGAAACAUUACUUCCACGAAGAUUGAUAGAACAUCACAUCCAUCUUAAAAAAGGAACUGGCCCAGUAAAUGUAUGUCCUUAUCGGUAUGCAUAUCAACAAAAGACAGAAAUGGAGAAAUUAGUGGAAGAGAUGCUAGCAUCGGGGGUAAUAAGGUCGAGUACGAGCCCAUAUUCCAGUCCGGUAUUGCUGGUGAGAAAGAAGGACGGGAGCUGACGUUUUUGUGUAGAUUAAGAGCUCUAAAUAAUGUAACUGUACCUGAUAAGUUUCCAAUACCAGUGAUUGAGGAGUUGUUUGAUGAAUUAAAUGGAGCUACUAUGUUCACUAAGAUAGAUCUUAAGUCAGGGUAUCAUUAGAUUAGGAUGUGUGCAGAUGAUAUUGAAAAGACAGCAUUCAGAACCCAUGAGGGCACUACGAAUUUAUGGUGAUGCCAUUUGGGCUGACAAACACACCGUCCACUUUUCAGUCGUUGACGAAUACUAUAUUUAGGCCAUAUCUUCAGAAAUUUGUCUUAGUGUUUUUUGAUGAUAUUUUGAUUUAUAGCGAAGGGUUGGAAGAUCACUUGAAUCAUAUGAGAGUUGUGUUAGAAGUGUUGAGGAAGAAUGGAUUAUAUGCGAAUAAGAAGAAAUGCAGCUUUGCUCAGUUUCGAGUGGAUUACUUAGGGCAUAUUAUUUCAGGAAAUGGAGUUGACGUGGAUCCUGAGAAGAUCAGGGCCAUCAAGGAAUGGCCAGUUCCAGCUAACGUGAGGGAGGUUCGAGGAUUCCUUGGGUUGACUGGAUAUUAUCGCAAAUUUGUCCAAAAUUAUGAAACAAUUGCGGCUUCUCUGACACAACUGUGGAAGAUAGGGGGGUUUAAAUGGACGGAGGAAACUCAAGGAGCCUUCAAUAGGCUACAGCAAGCGAUGAUGUCUCUUCCUGUAUUAGCUCUACAUGAUUUCAGUGUGCCAUUUGAAAUAGAAACCGAUGCUUCAGGAUAUGGAUUAGGAGCUGUAUUGGUACAAAAUAGACGGCCAAUUGCUUAUUAUAGCCAUACAUUAGCAAUGAGAGAUAGCGCUAAACCUGUAUACGAAAGGGAGUUGAUGGCAAUGGUCAUGGCUGUACAAAGGUGGCGUCCAUACUUAUUGGGGAAGAAGUUCUUAGUCAAAAAUGAUCAAUGGUCUCUAAAGUUUUUAUUGGAGCAAAGGGUGAUUUAGCCUCAGUAUCAAAAAUGGAUAUCCAAACUUCUCGGAUACUCAUUUGAAGUGGUUUAUAAACCGGGGUUGGAAAAUAAAGCAGCAGACGCAUUAUGUAGAGUACCAUCAACAGUACAUUUGAAUUAGUUAACAAUUCCAAAUGUGAUUGACAUAGAAGUGAUUAAAGCAGAGGUGGAUCAAGAUGAGAAGUUGAAGAAUAUUAAGUAGAGAAUAAAUGAGGCAGAAGAGAGAGAGAAUGGUAAGUAUUCGGUGAAACAGGAGAUGUUGAUGUAUAAAGAUCGAAUGGUGUUGUCUAGAACAUCCAAAUUAAUUCCAACAAUCCUACAUACUUAUCAUGAUUCGGUAUUCGAUGGUCACUCGGGGUUCUUGCGGACUUAUAAGAGGAUGGCUGGAGAGUUGUAUUGGGAAGGAAUGAAAUGGGAAGUGAAGAAAUAUUGUGAGGAGUGUAUGAUCUAUCAACGCAAUAAAACCUUGGCUCUUUCACCAGCUGGUUUAUUAACUCCUCUAGAAGUGCCAAAUAGAGUGUGGGAGGAUAUUUCAAUGGAUUUUGUGGAAGGAUUACCUAAGGCAGGAGGUUAUGAAGUGAUAUUUGUAGUGGUUGACCGAUUUAGUUAAUAUGGGCAUUUCAUCCCUAUGAAACAUCCAUAUACAGCAAAAAUCGUGUCUAAAAUGUUUGUAAAGGAAAACGUACGUUUACAUGGAUAUCCUAAAUCCAUAGUAUCUGAUAGAGACAAGGUGUUCUUGAGUCAUUUUUGGAGAGAACUGUUUCGUCUGGCAGGAACAAAGUUGAACCAUAGUAUAGCGUAUCAUCCACAAAUCGAUGGGCAGACGAAGGUUGUUAUCAGGGGAGUGGAAAGCUUCUUGCGCUGUUUUUGUGGGGAGAAGCCAAAGGAGUGGAUUAAAUGGAUUCCUUGGGUAGAAUACUGGUAUAAUACAACAUAUCAGCGUUCAUUGGGAAUCACACCAUUUCAAGCUGUGUAUGGGAGAUUAUCACCUCCUUUGAUAUUCUAUGGGGAAAGAGAUACUACUAAUUCCACAUUGGAUGAACAAUUGAAAGAAAGAGAUGUGGUGUUAGGAGCCUUACGAGAACAUUUUGAGAGUAGCACAAGACAAAAUGAAGAAGUAUGCAGAUGUGAAGAGGAGAGAAGUUCAUUACCAAGUUGGAGAUUUGGUAUUGCUGAAAAUAAGGCCAUUUCGGCAGAUGUCCUUGAGAAGAAAAAAAAAUGAAAAACUCUCACCGAAAUUCUUCGAGCCAUACAAAGUGAUAGCUAAGAUUGGGCCGGUAGCUUAUAAGUUGGAGUUACCAGAGAAUGCUACUAUACAUCCGGUAUUCCAUGUCUCUCAGUUAAAGAAAGUACUGGGAAAGCACGAUGAGAACAGAAAUGACAUUUCCUGUUUAACUGAAAAUCAUGAAUGGAAAGAUGUUCUGGAGGAGGUUUAUGGAUAUUUGAAAAACAAAGCGAGAAGUUGGGAUGUGCUGGUGCAGUGGAAAGGCCUACUUCCACAUGAGGCUACCUGGGAGUUAUAUGAGGAUUUGAAGCAGCGAUUUCCAGAUUUUCACCUUGAGGACAAGGUGAAUUUGGAGGAGAGUAAUGAUAGCCACCAAUAUUAUAUCAAUACAGUAGGAGAGAAAAAAAGAAAUAACACGUGAGGGUAAGACACGUGUGAGUGAAGGGAAGGGUAGCAAUAUAAAUAAGAUUUGUAGUGGGCGGGAAAGUUAGUUAGGAUUUGAGUUUCUGGAAUCUUUUCUGUUCUUCCUUGAAAGAGAGGGAAACAAAGGAUUUGUAGUUCUUUUAUUUCUAUCAAUAAUAUCAAAUACAUUUUCUACCUACGAGUUCCAUCAACUUCAUGCAUGUCAUGCAUGUGGACCAUGUUUUGUAAUUCUGAGUGUUGAGCUUCUUGAUUCUUCGAACUUGAAGGUCUACCAUCAUCUUGUAUUGAUGAAUGCACUCCAUGGUUAGCUGUGUCCCAGAUAAUAAAUUUCACUGUCCCAGACUGUACUCGAUCUUCAAGAGCUCCAAUACCGCAAGCUAAGCUAGCUUGUCUUUGAUACCACUUAUUGGAGAAAUUGGCACACUCACUUGAAAGAAAAACUUUUUUUAAGAAAUUUACAAAGGAUGAGCACUUUUAGUGAGAGAGCACUCUUUUACUCUAAAAACACUCACUCACUUUCACUCAAAGUUUCUCACCAACUCUCUUUCUUUUUCUCUUCCUCUUUUUUUUUGCUUUCUUUUCUUUACUUGGUUUGCUUUCUUUGCUUUGUUCACAAAUGAAGACAUAACCCCUA